GGUUUUGUUUAGCUGUUACAUGCAAAAUCUUUUGUCAGAACAAAUUCAUAAAUACAACCCUUAAUUCUCUUCUCUUUAAUUUCAUAUAUUUUUCCUUUCCUUCUGAUUCCUUCAUAUGAUACAUAAAGCAAAUUUUGCCUCUGGUAAUAUAAGAACUAGACAAGAAUAACACAAGAAUUAAUUAAGGUUGGCAAGAAAAAGCUAAGAUCAAUCAUAGUGUUAAUUGAAAAAAAAAAAAAGAAAAA
rnacentral:misc_RNA from 1 species